rnacentral:rRNA from 1 species
UGCAAGUCGAGCGGUAGAGAGGAGCUUGCUCCUCUUGAGAGCGGCGGACGGGUGAGUAAUGCCUAGGAAUCUGCCUGGUAGUGGGGGAUAACGUUCGGAAACGGACGCUAAUACCGCAUACGUCCUACGGGAGAAAGCAGGGGACCUUCGGGCCUUGCGCUAUCAGAUGAGCCUAGGUCGGAUUAGCUAGUUGGUGAGGUAAUGGCUCACCAAGGCGACGAUCCGUAACUGGUCUGAGAGGAUGAUCAGUCACACUGGAACUGAGACACGGUCCAGACUCCUACGGGAGGCAGCAGUGGGGAAUAUUGGACAAUGGGCGAAAGCCUGAUCCAGCCAUGCCGCGUGUGUGAAGAAGGUCUUCGGAUUGUAAAGCACUUUAAGUUGGGAGGAAGGGCAGUAAAUUAAUACUUUGCUGUUUUGACGUUACCGACAGAAUAAGCACCGGCUAACUCUGUGCCAGCAGCCGCGGUAAUACAGAGGGUGCAAGCGUUAAUCGGAAUUACUGGGCGUAAAGCGCGCGUAGGUGGUUUGUUAAGUUGGAUGU